CAUGCCGUAAACGAUGAUUACUAGGUGUGGGUGGUCUGACCCCAUCCGUGCCGGAGUUAACACAAUAAGUAAUCCACCUGGGGAGUACGACCGCAAGGUUGAAACUCAAAGGAAUUGACGGGGGCCCGCACAAGCAGUGGAGUAUGUGGUUUAAUUCGAAGCAACGCGAAGAACCUUACCAGGUCUUGACAUCCCGAUGACCGCUCUAGAGAUAGAGUUUUCCCUUCGGGGACAUUGGUGACAGGUGG
rnacentral:rRNA from 1 species